AAGAACUCUAGUUACAACAAUGUCCCUGAGUUCCUAUAAAGUUCCAUGAGUGGACCCUCUUGCCAAACAGGCUGGGAGGAAAUGACAGGUGUAAGCUCAAAGUGUGGGCAGCAGAGGUGGCAGGGAAACAUCUAACAGUUACCUGGAGGGACAUUAUACCCAGAGAAUCCUGUGGCUUGGGGCAAAACUGGAAUAGCCCUGGGACAUCAGAGACCAGCACACACUACACAGAGGAGACAUAAAUGUCAGGCUUCAUUGAAGAGAAGGUUAAGAAGAUCAAAGGAGGAAGUAGGAGAAAUGUCAACCAGAAACAAGAAAUUGGAUUCAAGACGGGUUGUGCGUUAAGGAGUACAGGCAAACCUCAAAAAAGCUAGAAAAGGGAAGGAAAUGCAUCCCCCUCUAGAGCCUCAAGAAAGAACCAGCCCUCUGACACCUUGACUUCUUGCUCCAGAACUGUAAGAGAAUAAGUUUGUGUUGUUUUAAACCAAUAAUCUGGUGAUAAUUUGAUAUAGCAGCAACAGGAAACUAAUAAAGAGGACAAAAUAGUGUC